CUGGCGGCGUGCCUAACACAUGCAAGUCGAGCGAGGAGAUCCUUCGGGAUGAUCCUAGCGGCGGACGGGUGAGUAACACGUGGGCAACCUGCCUCAUAGAGAGGAAUAGCCUUCCGAAAGGAGAUUAAUACCUCAUAACAUUGCAGUUUCGCAUGGAACAGCAAUUAAAGGAGCAAUCCGCUAUGAGAUGGGCCCGCGGCGCAUUAGCUAGUUGGUGAGGUAACGGCUCACCAAGGCGACGAUGCGUAGCCGACCUGAGAGGGUGAUCGGCCACAUUGGGACUGAGACACGGCCCAGACUCCUACGGGAGGCAGCAGUGGGGAAUAUUGCACAAUGGGGGAAACCCUGAUGCAGCAACGCCGCGUGAGUGAUGACGGCCUUCGGGUUGUAAAGCUCUGUCUUCAGGGACGAUAAUGACGGUACCUGAGGAGGAAGCCACGGCUAACUACGUGCCAGCCGCCGC
rnacentral:rRNA from 1 species